rnacentral:misc_RNA from 1 species
GAAAUGCGAUAAGUAAUGUGAAUUGCAGAAUUCCGUGAAUCAUCAAAUCUUUGAACGCACAUUGCGCCCUCUGGUAUUCCUAAGGGCAUGCCUGUUCGAGAAUCAGUUUAAUCAUCAAAGUUUUGUAUAUGAAAAUUAUACUUAACUUUGGACUUGGGUUUCUUUUAUAAGAUUCCUUAAUAUUAUUCAUCUUAAGGACAAAUUCUAUUGUUCAUAGAGCAUGACAAUCUUUUUUAAAGUAGUGAUGUAACUAGAAUAUUAGUAAGAGUUAUUAAGGAUGUAAAAUAUCACAAAGGGAGACCUUUAAGACUUGAUCUCGAAUCAGACAAGACUACCCGCUGAACUUAA